rnacentral:rRNA from 1 species
GACGUAGGGCGCGAGCGUUGUCCGGAUUUAUUGGGCGUAAAGAGCUCGUAGGCGGCUUGUCGCGUCGACUGUGAAAGCCCUUGGCUCAACUGAGGAAGUGCAUCCGAAACUGGCAGGCUAGAGUACGAAAGAGGAUCGCGGAAUUCCCGGUGUAGAGGUGAAAUUCGUAGAUAUCGGGAGGAACACCGGUGGCGAAGGCGGCGAUCUGGGUCGAUACUGACGCUGAGGUGCGAAAGCGUGGGGAGCAAACAGG